rnacentral:rRNA from 1 species
UUGAACGCUGGCGGCAGGCCUAACACAUGCAAGUCGAGCGGAUGAAGGGAGCUUGCUCCUGGAUUCAGCGGCGGACGGGUGAGUAAUGCCUAGGAAUCUGCCUGGUAGUGGGGGAUAACGUCCGGAAACGGGCGCUAAUACCGCAUACGUCCUGAGGGAGAAAGUGGGGGAUCCUCGGACCUCACGCUAUCAGAUGAGCCUAGGUCGGAUUAGCUAGUUGGUGGGGUAAAGGCCUACCAAGGCGACGAUCCGUAACUGGUCUGAGAGGAUGAUCAGUCACACUGGAACUGAGACACGGUCCAGACUCCUACGGGAGGCAGCAGUGGUGAAUAUUGGACAAUGGGCGAAAGCCUGAUCCAGCCAUGCCGCGUGUGUGAAGAAGGUCUUCGGAUUGUAAAGCACUUUAAGUUGGGAGGAAGGGCAGUAAGUUAAUACCUUGCUGUUUUGACGUUACCAACAGAAUAAGCACCGGCUAACUUCGUG